rnacentral:rRNA from 1 species
AUUGAACGCUGGCGGCAGGCCUAACACAUGCAAGUCGAGCGGGGUUUUCGGACCUAGCGGCGGACGGGUGAGUAAUGCGUAGGAAGCUGCCCGAUAGAGGGGGAUACCAGUUGGAAACGACUGUUAAUACCGCAUAAUGUCUACGGACCAAAGUGUGGGACCUUCGGGCCACAUGAGAUCGGAUGCUCCUACGUGGGAUUAGCUAGUUGGUGAGGUAAUGGCUCACCAAGGCGACGAUCUCGAGCUGGUUUGAGAGGAUGAUCAGCACACACUGGAACUGAGACAUGGUCCAGACUCCUACGGGAGGCAGCAGUGGGGAAUAUUGGACAAUGGGCGCAAGCCUGAUCCAGCCAUGCCGCGUGUGUGAAGAAGGCCUUCGGGUUGUAAAGCACUUUCAGCGAGGAGGAAGGGUGGUGUGUUAAUAGCACAUCAUUUUGACGUUACUCGCAGAAGAAGCACCGGCUAACUCUGUGCCAGCAGCCGCCGUAA